UUUGUUUUGAAAAACUUAUUUUGACGAAGUAUGUAAUAUAAAUUAAACAGAGAUGUAUGAGAAGAAGAAGAGAAGAAAAAGAAAACGAAGACCAGGUAACAACAACAAUUACAAUGGUGACAACAAUAACAAUAACAACAAUUAUGACAAAAGAGAAAGAGAAAGAGGGAGCCAAAGAUAGUGGAUAUAAAAAUGAUGACAAUGACGAUAACAGUGACAAACAUCGACAAUAGAAAAGAAGGAGAAGGAAAAAGAAAUAAAAAAGAGAUGAUAAGAAAGAAAGAGAAGACCAAAUCGUAAUAUUUAGACAAUAAAAGAUCUAUCAAUAAUUACCACAACUUUUUAACGAUGGAUAACUAUCAACAAAUUUAGAUAGUUGAAAAUUAUUAACAAAUAAUUACUAAUGAAUCUUUUGUUGUUGUUCAAUCCAUCAAUAAAAUUUAUUAACAAAUAUUUUA
rnacentral:lncRNA from 1 species